UACGUAGGGGGCAAGCGUUGUCCGGAAUCAUUGGGCGUAAAGAGCGUGUAGGCGGCUUGGUAAGUCCGCUGUGAAAGUCCAGGGCUCAACCCUGGAAAGCCAGUGGAAACUGCCAAGCUAGAGUCCGGAAGAGGCGAGUGGAACUCCUGGUGUAGCGGUGAAAUGCGCAGAUAUCAGGAAGAGCACCAAUGGCGAAGGCAGCUCGCUGGGACGCGACUGACGCUGAGACGCGAAAGCGUGGGGAGCAAACAGG
rnacentral:rRNA from 1 species